CGUUUGUACGCAAUAAUGUUAAUAAUUUUAAAGCUUCUCUUUAAUAUUUAUCUAUUGGCUUUGAUCAAUGCACGCUCCAUUCCAAUUAGCCCAUGUCCACAGCCAGAUACUACAAUAUUUGUUCUGAAGCCCAAUAAUGAAUACUUUAAGGAUGCACCAUGUUUUCCUUCAAUUCUAUAAUAACACAGGUUUAUUCAAAUGAAUACUAUUUUGAAAUAAAUAAUACAGUUUUCAACUAAAA